rnacentral:rRNA from 1 species
AGUGAACGCUGGCGGUAGGCCUAACACAUGCAAGUCGAACGGCAGCACAGUAAGAGCUUGCUCUUACGGGUGGCGAGUGGCGGACGGGUGAGGAAUACAUCGGAAUCUACUUUUUCGUGGGGGGUAACGUAGGGAAACUUACGCUAAUACCGCAUACGACCUACGGGUGAAAGCAGGGGAUCUUCGGACCUUGCGCGAUUGAAUGAGCCGAUGUCGGAUUAGCUAGUUGGCGGGGUAAAGGCCCACCAAGGCGACGAUCCGUAGCUGGUCUGAGAGGAUGAUCAGCCACACUGGAACUGAGACACGGUCCAGACUCCUACGGGAGGCAGCAGUGGGGAAUAUUGGACAAUGGGCGCAAGCCUGAUCCAGCCGUACCGCGUGGGUGAAGAAGGCCUUCGGGUUGUAAAGCCCUUUUGUUGGGAAAGAAAAGCAGCAGGUUAAUACCCCGCUGUUCUGACGGUACCCAAAGAAUAAGCACCGGCUAACUUCGUG